AACUGGUGCAGCUUUUACUGUAUAUAUCAAUUUUUAUCUUGGACAAAGGUUGCUGAAUCAUAGCGAUGCUGUUCGUGAAGAAUUGUGUGAUGUUCCGUUUUAUACAUUAUCCAUAAAUACACAAAAAAUGCUACUAUUUAUAAUAACUAAAAGUAGAAAACCGUGCUUUCUAUCAAUCGGUAAUAUGUUUGUCUCUUCGCACCAAGUUUUUGCUGGGCUUAUGCGGAAAGCACUUUCUUUUGCAAUGGUAUAUAAAAGUGUACCAUAAUUCAAUGCAACGAAAAAACAACAGACAAAAAUCU
rnacentral:lncRNA from 1 species